rnacentral:lncRNA from 1 species
GAUAGGUGAGAUUUUGAUCCGAGGGUCGAAAUGGAAUUCUGAGAGUUCCUAUAGCUUCGUUAUGUGAUUUGAGAUGCGUGUGCAAAAGUCGUAUCAUUCAUAAGUGAUUUGGUUGGGUUUUAUACCAAAUGCGUGUUUCGAAAGUUUUAAAAGAACGUAGGCUUGAAUUCGAUGUAAUUAAAUAAUUUUGGUGUUGGUUGAGGUGUUUUGAUAAUUGGAGCAAGUUUGAAUAAUGUUUUAAGAGGUGUUGAUACUUUUGGUUGAGGUCCUGGGGGCCUCGAGGUGAUUUCGGAUGACCGUAAGGAUGAAUUUUGGACUUGAUGCAUUUCUGAAGAUUGAUGGUAUCUGGUAUUUCCGCAUCUGCGGAAAAGGGGCCGCAGAUGCAGUUUCGCGGAAGCGAAUAAGGGAUCGCAAGUGCUGAUGUUGGCCUUUUGGAUAAAUUCCACAAAACUGAACAAUACCCGCAGGAGCGGACUCAGCAGAUGCAGUUAUUGACCGCAGCAGUGGUCCUGGGCAUAGUGAAGAUUUUUAGAAGCGGAGGGAAAACUGCAGAAGCAGUAACCGCAGGUGCGGUUUAUUUAGCGCAGAAGCAGAAGUGGCUGAUCAGAGAAGGGCUUUAAAAGCUCAUUUUGUUCCGCGAGCAAAGGUUCAUUUCCACCAUUUUUAACAACCUUAAGAGCUUUUGAACAGGAAUUAAAGGGGAUUUCGACUGGGAUUGAUUGGAGGUGAGUUAUAUAACCUUAAAACACGAUUAUUAUGUGAAAUUAACCUUGAAAUUUAUGCCUAAAAUUAAAGUACUAGUGCUUGAGUUUUGGUAGGUCAAAUUGGGAUUUGAUGGAUCAUUUGAGCUCGCUUUGAGAGUUCUUGGUAUGUAUGAACUUGUGAGAAGAUAAGGAAUCUAUUAAUGUAAAAGUUUUUGAAAGUUGAGGGUUGGGCCCGGGGCUCGGGUUUUUCCAACUUCAGGAUUCUUGUUAUUUUUCGAUUAUUUUCAAUUGGGUAUUUUUCCUUUGGAAUAUUAUGAUGUAUUCGUUGUGGUUUUGGUCAGAUUUGACGCGCGUGGAGGCCGAUUUGAGGGGAAAAGGCGUCGCGAGCUAGAGAUUUUGUCGGUUCUAAGUGAGUAAUAAUUGUAAAUGAUAUCCUGAGGGUUUGAAACCCUAAAUUGAACAUCGUAGCGCUAUAUUGAGGCGAGACACGUGCUCUAUGAUGAGUGGGGGGUCAUUUGCUAUUGGGAAUUGUGACUUGGUCCGUCCCGAGUGAUAUUUUUACCGUGUUUUCGAUUAGAACUUAUUUGAGAUCAUCCUUACUUGGAUUUAAUUAUUAUAUUUGGGCUUCGUGCCAAUCAUUUGAAUCCUUCACGGAUUGUUAACAUCUGUUUCCACAUUAUUUGACAUAUUAUUUGAUCUCAG